rnacentral:rRNA from 1 species
CCGGGUUGGAUCCUGCCGGAGGUCACUGCUAUUGGGAUUCGAUUAAGCCAUGCGAGUCGAGAGGGUUCGGCCCUCGGCUGACGGCUCAGUAACACGUGGAUAAUCUGCCCUUAGGUGGAGGGUACCCUCGGGAAACUGAGAAUAAUACUCCAUAGGUCUAGGAUGCUGGAAUGCACUUAGACUGAAAAUUCCGGUGCCUAAGGAUGAGUCUGCGGACUAUCAGGUUGUAGUCAGGGUAAAGACCUGACUAGCCUAUGACGGAUACGGGUUGUGAGAGCAAUAACCCGGAGAUGAUAUCUGAGACACGAUAUCAGGCCCUACGGGGCGCAGCAGGCGCGAAAACUUCACAAUGUGCGAAAGCACGAUGAGGGAAUCCCAAGUGCUUGCACGUAAGUGCAAGCUGUUUCUAUGUCUAAAACACAUAGAGAGUAAGGGCUGGGUAAGACGGGUGCCAGCCGCCGCGGUAAUACCUGCAGCUCAAGUGGUGGCCGCUAUUAUUGGGCCUAAAACGUCCGUAGCCGGUUUAAUAAAUGCCUGGGUAAAUUGUAUAGCUUAACUAUACGAAUUCCGGGUAGACUGAUAAACUUGAGACCGGGGGAAGUUAGAGGUACUCCUGGGGUAGAGGUGAAAUUCUGUAAUCCUAGGGGGACCACCGGUGGCGAAGGCGUCUGACUAAAACGGGUCUGACGGUGAGGGACGAAGCCCUGGGGCGCAAACGGGAUUAGAUACCCCGGUAGUCCAGGGUGUAAACGCUGCUUGCUUGAUGUUAGUCGGGCUUCGAGCCCGAUUAGUGUCGGAGAGAAGUUGUUAAGCAAGCUGCCUGGGAAGUACGGCCGCAAGACUGAAACUUAAAGGAAUUGGCGGGGGAGCACAGCAACGGGUGGAGCGUGCGGUUUAAUUGGAUUCAACGCCGGA